rnacentral:rRNA from 1 species
UGAAAGAGCUUGCUCUUUUAUUAAUUUCAGUGGCAAACGGGUGAGUAACACGUAAACAACCUGCCUUAAGGAUGGGGAUAACAGACGGAAACGACUGCUAAUACCGAAUACGUUCUAAGCAUCGCAUGGUGCAUAGAAGAAAGGGUGGCCUCUACAAGAAAGCUAUCGCCUUAAGAGGGGUUUGCGACUGAUUAGGUAGUUGGUGAGGUAACGGCUCACCAAGCCGACGAUCAGUAGCCGGUCUGAGAGGAUGAACGGCCACACUGGAACUGAGACACGGUCCAGACUCCUACGGGAGGCAGCAGUGGGGAAUCUUCCGCAAUGGACGAAAGUCUGACGGAGCAACGCCGCGUGAACGAAGAAGGUCUUCGGAUUGUAAAGUUCUGUGAUUCGGGACGAAAGGGUAAAUAGUGAAUAACUAUAGACAUUGACGGUACCGAAAAAGCAAGCCACGGCUAACUACGUGCCAGCAGCCGCGGUAAUACGUAGGUGGCAAGCGUUGUCCGGAAUUAUUGGGCGUAAAGCGCGCGCAGGCGGCUUCUUAAGUCCAUCUUAAAAGCGUGGGGCUCAACCCCACGAGGGGAUGGAAACUGG